UACUGAGAAAGUGCAGUCUCUCAGCCUC
rnacentral:piRNA from 1 species